rnacentral:rRNA from 1 species
UGCAGUCGAGCGGACCGACGGGAGCUUGCUCCCUUAGGUCAGCGGCGGACGGGUGAGUAACACGUGGGUAACCUGCCUGUAAGACUGGGAUAACUCCGGGAAACCGGGGCUAAUACCGGAUGCUUGAUUGAACCGCAUGGUUCAAUCAUAAAAGGUGGCUUUUAGCUACCACUUGCAGAUGGACCCGCGGCGCAUUAGCUAGUUGGUGAGGUAACGGCUCACCAAGGCGACGAUGCGUAGCCGACCUGAGAGGGUGAUCGGCCACACUGGGACUGAGACACGGCCCAGACUCCUACGGGAGGCAGCAGUAGGGAAUCUUCCGCAAUGGACGAAAGUCUGACGGAGCAACGCCGCGUGAGUGAUGAAGGUUUUCGGAUCGUAAAACUCUGUUGUUAGGGAAGAACAAGUACCGUUCGAAUAGGGCGGCACCUUGACGGUACCUAACCAGAAAGCCACGGCUAACUACGUGCCAGCAGCCGCGGUAAUACGUAGGUGGCAAGCGUUGUCCGGAAUUAUUGGGCGUAAAGCGCGCGCAGGCGGUUUCUUAAGUCUGAUGUGAAAGCCCCCGGCUCAACCGGGGAGGGUCAUUGGAAACUGGGGAACUUGAGUGCAGAAGAGGAGAGUGGAAUUCCACGUGUAGCGGUGAAAUGCGUAGAGAUGUGGAGGAACACCAGUGGCGAAGGCGACUCUCUGGUCUGUAACUGACGCUGAGGCGCGAAAGCGUGGGGAGCGAACAGGAUUAGAUACCCUGGUAGUCCACGCCGUAAACGAUGAGUGCUAAGUGUUAGAGGGUUUCCGCCCUUUAGUGCUGCAGCAAACGCAUUAAGCACUCCGCCUGGGGAGUACGGUCGCAAGACUGAAACUCAAAGGAAUUGACGGGGGCCCGCACAAGCGGUGGAGCAUGUGGUUUAAUUCGAAGCAACGCGAAGAACCUUACCAGGUCUUGACAUCCUCUGACAACCCUAGAGAUAGGGCUUCCCCUUCGGGGGCAGAGUGACAGGUGGUGCAUGGUUGUCGUCAGCUCGUGUCGUGAGAUGUUGGGUUAAGUCCCGCAACGAGCGCAACCCUUGAUCUUAGUUGCCAGCAUUCAGUUGGGCACUCUAAGGUGACUGCCGGUGACAAACCGGAGGAAAGGUGGGGAUGACGUCAAAUCAUCAUGCCCCUUAUGACCUGGGCUACCCACGUGCUACAAUGGGCAGAACAAAGGGCA